rnacentral:rRNA from 1 species
AAAAUAAGCAGCUUAAGGAUUAAUCCAUAUAAUAUUAGGUAAUUAUUUCUAAAUUUAUUUAAUAAAAUAUUUUAUUUUUAGUAAAAUAAGCCUAUAUGUUUAGUUGAAUUUAGAGAUUGUUCAACCACAUACGGGUAUGAAAACUACCCUAUCUUUUUGACAGCAGUGAGGAAUUUUGGACAAUAUGCGAAAGCAUGAUCCAGCGAACUAAUGGAAACGAAGAAGAUAACUAAUAUUGUAAAGUUUUGUUCGAGAAUUAACAUUUUGAGUAAAUUUUAAGAGAAGCUCUGGCUAAUACAUGUGCCAGCAGCCGCGGUAAUACAUGAGGAGUAAGCGUUAUUCACAUUGACUGAGUGUAUUAAAUACGUAGGAAUUUAUAAAUAUUUAUUUUAAAAAUGUAUUAAAAUACUAAAUAUAAUAAAAAUUUUAUAAAAGAUAAUUUUUUAUAAGAAAAGAAGACUUAUAGAACAGCGAUUAAAUGCAGUUACACUAUAUAGCUUAUCAUAAACUAAGGUGCUUUUCUAUUUUAAAUUAUAUCUGAUGUAUGAAAGUAUGGGUAUCGAUAAGGAUUAGUUUCCCUAGUAGUCCAUACUGUAAAAGAUGAAUACUUUAUGAUUUUUAUAAAUCGAGAAUAGCUAACGCAAAGUAUUCUACUUGGGGAGUAUUAUCGCAAGAUUAAAACUUAACUGAAUUGGCGGGAAUUUGUUCGAACGGUGGAACAUGUGGUUUAAUGCGAUAAUCCACGCAAAAUCUUACCAACGUUUUAGGCUUUAAUAGUAAUAUGGUUAAUACUAUAAUUAAAUGAUAAAGUUCGGAAUUGCAUGGCUGUCGUCAGUUCGUGCUGUGAAGUUUAGGAUUAAGUUUUUCUUAACGAAUGUAACCCUAUAAAUAAGUUUUUAAUUUUUAAUAAAUAAAUUUUUAAAUUAUUCUUAUUUAAUCUAUAAUCAAUUUUAAAGAAAUCUUUUUUUUUAUAAUUGAUUAUAGGGGUUUUAGGCUGAAGUCAAGUCCCUAUGGUCUUUAUACGUUGGGCUACACACGUGUUACAAGGAUAAAAACAAAGAGACGCGAUAGAGUAAUCUGAAGCAAAUCUCUAAAAAUUAUCUUAGUUCAGAUUGUUUUAUGAAAUUCUAAAACAUGAAGAUGAAAUCGUUAGUAAUUGUAAAUUAUAAUGUUACAGUGAAAUAAUUGUCAAAUUUUGCACACACCGCCCAUCACGCUCGAAAAGUCGAUAUUAGCGGAAGAUUUUAAAAUUUCUACAUAAUACUUAAUUAUUAUAUAAUUUUGUAAUAAAUAUUAUUUUUUAAUAGUGUAGUUAAUAAGUAGUAUCUAAUCUAAUAUUGGUGAUUUGAGUGAAGUUGACACAAGGUACUGGUAGGGGAACCUGUUGGUGGAAUAUAUAGUUAU